rnacentral:tRNA from 1 species
GGGCGUGUAGCUCAGCUGGGAGAGCACCUGCUUUGCAAGCAGGGGGUCGGGGGUUCGAAUCCCCUCACGUCCACCA